rnacentral:rRNA from 1 species
ACUCAAAGGAAUUGACGGGGGCCCGCACAAGCGGUGGAGCAUGUGGUUUAAUUCGACGCAACGCGAAGAACCUUACCAGGGCUUGACAUCCCUUGAUCGGUGCAGAAAUGCAUCUUCCAUAGCAAUAUGGCAGGGUGACAGGUGCUGCAUGGCUGUCGUCAGCUCGUGUCGUGAGAUGUUGGGUUAAGUCCCGCAACGAGCGCAACCCUCGUCGAGUGUUGCCAUCAUUAAGUUGGGCACUCACUCGAGACCGCCGUUGAUAAGACGGAGGAAGGUGGGGAUGACGUCAAGUCAGCAUGGCCCUUACGUCCUGGGCUACACACGUGCUACAAUGGCCGGAACAACGGGCAGCCAGACCGCGAGGUCGAGCGAAUCCCAUAAAGCCGGUCUCAGUUCGGAUUGCAGGCUGCAACUCGCCUGCAUGAAGUCGGAAUCGCUAGUAACCGCAGAUCAGCUACGCUGCGGUGAAUACGUUCCCGGGCCUUGCACACACCGCCCGU